CAAUAGCGUAUAUUAAAGUUGUUGCGGUUAAAAGCUCGUAGUUGGAUUUCUGCCUGAGGCAGCCGGUCCGCACUUAGUGCGUGUAUCUGGUUUGGUUUGGGCAUCCUCUUGGGGAUCGUUGCUGUGCUUAGUUGCAUGGUGCGGAAUUCAAGACGUUUACUUUGAGGAAAUUAGAGUGUUCACGGCAGGCAAUCGCCUUGAAUAUAUUAGCAUGGAAUAAUAAUAUAGGAUCUUGGGUCUAUUUUGUUGGUUUCUAGAGCUAAGAUAAUGAUUAAUAGGGACAAUUGGGGGCAUUCGUAUUAACACGUCAGAGGUGGAAUUCUUAGAUUGUGUUACGACGAACUACUGCGAAAGCAUUUGCCAAGGAUGUUUUCAUUGAUCAAGAACGAAAGUGAGGGGAUCGAAGACGAUCAGAUACCA
rnacentral:rRNA from 1 species